rnacentral:rRNA from 1 species
UACGUAGGGCGCAAGCGUUAUCCGGAAUUACUGGGCGUAAAGCGUGCGCAGGCGGUUUUGUAAGUCUGAUGUGAAAGCCCCGGGCUCAACCUGGGAAUGGCAUUGGAAACUGGCCAGCUGGAGUGUGGCAGAGGGGGGUGGAAUUCCGCGUGUAGCAGUGAAAUGCGUAGAGAUGCGGAGGAACACCGAUGGCGAAGGCAGCCCCCUGGGCCAACACUGACGCUCAGGCACGAAAGCGUGGGGAGCAAACAGG